GCGGGAGUAGUACAGUGGUAGUAUGCGUCCUUGCCAAGGACGAGGUCGCGGGUUCGAAUCCCGUCUCCCGCUCCA
rnacentral:tRNA from 3 species